GACGAACGCUGGCGGCGUGCCUAAUACAUGCAAGUCGAGCGGAAUGAUGAAGAAGCUUGCUUCUUCUGAUUUUAGCGGCGGACGGGUGAGUAACACGUGGGCAACCUACCUUGUAGAUUGGGAUAACUCCGGGAAACCGGGGCUAAUACCGAAUAAUUCAUUUUGCUUCAUGGCGAGAUGUUGAAAGACGGUUUCGGCUGUCACUACAAGAUGGGCCCGCGGCGCAUUAGCUAGUUGGUAGGGUAAUGGCCUACCAAGGCGACGAUGCGUAGCCGACCUGAGAGGGUGAUCGGCCACACUGGGACUGAGACACGGCCCAGACUCCUACGGGAGGCAGCAGUAGGGAAUCUUCCGCAAUGGACGAAAGUCUGACGGAGCAACGCCGCGUGAGUGAAGAAGGUUUUCGGAUCGUAAAACUCUGUUGUUAGGGAAGAACACGUACGAGAGUAACUGCUCGUACCUUGACGGUACCUAACCAGAAAGCCACGGCUAACUACGUG
rnacentral:rRNA from 1 species